GUUGAAGCAAUACCAACUACAUCCAUUGAAACAGAGCUGCAACAAUCUCAAUCAAUCCUAACAGGGAUUGUCACUAACAAUAGUGAACUGCUCGAUGAUAUUCCAAUUUAAAAGCAGCUAGACCAAAAGUCAUACCUGCUCGCAGAGAAAAUAACAAACCUGCAAACACAGCGAACAAAUCUAAUGGAAUUCCAAACAAAAACUCCGAACAACAACAAAUCACCAAAUUCACAACUACUCAAUCUUCGUCUCAACGCCAAAAUCAUGAUACCCCAGUGAAAGCAACAACUAGCAGUGGACUUGAAAAGUCACCAGUUACCCCUACAGAAAAACUUCAUGAUGGUGCUACAAAUAAUAGUACAAAAACGAUCAAGAACCACGAA
rnacentral:lncRNA from 1 species